rnacentral:lncRNA from 1 species
GAAUGGUUGGAGUUGCGUUAAGAACACUUUGUCAGAUAAUAAUGAAUGAAACAACUCUUUCAUCAUCCGGGAGAAGCUGAGGAUGCUCUUUGUGAUUUUCAGUCAAAUGACAACAGAAGAAAAAAAGAAAGAAAGAAAAGAAAAAAAUCUAAAGUAACUUUGAAACUCCCAGAAUAUAUCUGUGAACCUCUG